UGGAAGAGUGAAAGACGUCAUCUCCCA
rnacentral:piRNA from 1 species